rfam:Brachypodium distachyon strain Bd21 chromosome 3, whole genome shotgun sequence.
UUAUUACUCCCUCCGUCUCAUAUUAAGUGACUUUCUAUUACAUGUAUCUAGACACUUUUUAGGCAUAGAUUCAUCCAUAUUUGGACAAAUUUGAGUCAUUUAAUAUGGGACGGAGGGAGUAUAAG